CCUCCGCUGAAGCCUCCUCCACCGCCUCCACCGGAGCUAUAGCUGGACUUCAUGGAGUAUCCGCCGCCUCCGCCGCCGCCGCCGCCGCCACCGUAUCCUAUAGCUACACGUCCGCCGCCGCCGCCGCCGCCGCCGCCGCCGGAGCUGGAGCUGCUUAUGGAGCUCGAGAUAUGGGCAGUCGAUGUGCCAGAGCCAAUCCUGUGAAGAAGUGGCCCAAGAUGAGUAUUUCGCUUGUUUCCAAUACCACCGCUAAUACAGAGCUUAUUCUCCAACUGUCGUCUUACCUGCUCUCCUCUCCCUCCAGCAGCUUCCUGUAGGUGGCGAUUUCAAUGUCCAGGGCCAGUUUGACGUUCAUGAGCUCCUGGUACUCGCGCACCUGGCGGGCCAUGUCCUGCUUGGCUCUCUGCAGGGCCUCCUCCAGUUCCCUGAUGCGGAGCUUGGCGUCUUUUACCGC